AAAUGUAACCAAAAACAGGGUAGAGAAAGAAGAGUGCUCAGAACUUAAAGGUGUGAUAAGCUGGUGGGGAACCCACAUCUAAGUGGCACACAAAUGUAGUACAUCCAGCAACAAGCUGACUUGUCUGAAGACCCAUGGUGACCAGGCAAACCCCAGGCAUUGGACACAUGGUACUGAGUGUUUGAAGUAUUCUCCUAGUGAUCCUUCUUUCUGUUUGCUGUUGACUGAAGCCAAAAUGUUGUACUGCUUGAUUUAAGACUUCUUUACAAUAAUACAUUCUGCUUGAUGCAUUUAUAUCCUGUAGUACAUUUUCCCAUGAAAUUCAGAACAUCCAUUUUGUGGAGUACAAGGCUCAUCAAAACCAAGGAAUUGCCAGUAAAAUCUCACACAAAAUACUAACAUAAGCUUUUAAUGCACAUAAAUUCAUACAUAGGCUUAGUUGUUCCCAACCAAGUGUUAUAAAUGCAAAUUUUGAACAAUUUCUUACUAAUGUCAGCUAAUUCACCAUCUAGACAUGUUUGGACACCAAAAAACAUUCAUAUUUUGAAUUCUAUUCUAAAUCUGUUUUUUGACAAGGUGGUAAAAUACAAAACAGAGACACAAAAUGUAGUUAAUGUUCAUUGGCAACAUAUUUCUAAAUAUGUUGUCACAACUCAAUUAACUUAUGUGAAAAAUAAAAAGACAAAGUGGAUUUAAA